UACGUAGGGUGCGAGCGUUAAUCGGAAUUACUGGGCGUAAAGCGUGCGCAGGCGGCUCACUAAGACAGAUGUGAAAUCCCCGGGCUUAACCUGGGAACUGCGUUUGUGACUGGUGGGCUUGAGUGCGGCAGAGGGGGGUGGAAUUCCACGUGUAGCAGUGAAAUGCGUAGAGAUGUGGAGGAACACCGAUGGCGAAGGCAGCCCCCUGGGUCGACACUGACGCUCAUGCACGAAAGCGUGGGGAGCAAACAGGAUUAGAUACCCUGGUAGUCCACGCCCUAAACGAUGCGAACUAGGUGUUGGGGAAGGAGACUUCUUUAGUACCGUAGCUAACGCGUGAAGUUCGCCGCCUGGGGAGUACGGUCGCAAGAUUA
rnacentral:rRNA from 1 species